AGAGUUUGAUCCUGGCUCAGGAUAAACGCUGGCGGCGUGCCUUAUGCAUGCAAGUCGAACGGUCUUGAUUUAUCGAGAUAGUGGCGAACGGGUGAGUAACGCGCAAGUAACCUGCCCCUAAGUAGAGGAUAACUCUGAGAAAUUAGAGCUAAUACUGUAUGUGGUGGUGGAGGUAAUGCUUCAUCACUAAAGCUUUAGGGCGCUUAGGGAGGAGCUUGCGUCCGAUUAGCUAGUUGGUAGAGUAAAGGUCUACCAAGGCGAUGAUCGGUAGCUGGUUUGAGAGGACAUUCAGCCACACUGGGACUGAGAUACGGCCCAGACUCCUACGGGAGGCAGCAGCAAGGAAUUUUGUGCAAUGGGCGAAAGCCUGACACAGCGACGCCGUGUGGGGGACGAAGGCCUUCGGGUUGUAAACCUCUUUUCUCAGGGAAGAAUAAUGACGGUACCUGAGGAAUAAGUCUCGGCUAACUACGUGCCAGCAGCCGCGGUAAUACGUAGGAGGCUAGCGUUGUCCGGAUUUAUUGGGCGUAAAGAGGGCGUAGGCGGCCUUUCAAGUCGGAUGUAAAAUCUCCCGGCUCAACUGGGAGGGACCAUUCGAUACUGUUAGGCUGGAGGGCAGCAGAGGGAGGUGGAAUUCCCGGUGUAGUGGUGAAAUGCGUAGAUAUCGGGAGGAACACCAGUGGCGAAGGCGGCCUCCUGGGCUGUUUCUGACGCUGAGGCCCGAAGGCGUGGGGAGCAAACAGGAUUAGAUACCCUGAUAGUCCAUGCUGUAAACUAUGGACACUAGGUAUAGGGAGUAUCGACCCUCUCUGUGCCGAAGUUAACGCUUUAAGUGUCCCGCCUGGGGAUUACGGCGCAAGGCUAAAACUCAUGGAAUUGACGGGGACCCGCACAGCAGCGGAGCGUGUGGUUUAUUUCGAUGCACGCGAAGAACCUUACCAAGGCUUGACAUGU
rnacentral:rRNA from 1 species